rnacentral:rRNA from 1 species
UACGAAGGGGGCUAGCGUUGUUCGGAUUUAUUGGGCGUAAAGAGCUCGUAGGCGGCUUGGUAAGUCAGGUGUGAAAUCUCCACGCUCAACGUGGAGGGGCCACCCGAAACUGCCAUGGCUUGAGUCCGGUAGGGGAGUGUGGAAUUCCCGGUGUAGCGGUGAAAUGCGCAGAUAUCGGGAGGAACACCCGUAGCGAAGGCGGCACUCUGGGCCGGUACUGACGCUGAGGAGCGAAAGCGUGGGGAGCAAACAGG